rnacentral:rRNA from 1 species
CCUACGGGGGGCAGCAGUAGGGAAUCUUUCACAAUGGGCGAAAGCCUGAUGGAGCAACGCCGCGUGCAGGAUGAAGGCCUUCGGGUUGUAAACUGCUUUUAUAAGCGAGAAAUAUGAUGGUAACUUAUGAAUAAGGAUCGGCUAACUACGUGCCAGCAGCCGCGGUCAUACGUAGGAUCCGAGCAUUAUCCGGAGUGACUGGGUGUAAAGAGUUGCGUAGGUGGCAUAAUAAGUAGCUAGUGAAAUCUGGUGGCUCAACCAUUCAGACUAUUAGCUAAACUGUUAAGCUCGAGACCGUUAGGGGUAACUGGAAUUUAUAGUGUAGGAGUGAAAUCCGUAGAUAUUAGAAGGAACCCCGAUAGCGUAGGCAGGUUGCUGGGACGGUUCUGACACUAAGGCACGAAAGCGUAGGGAGCAAACGGGAUUAGAUACCCUUGUAGUC